rnacentral:rRNA from 1 species
CAGUAGCCGCGGUAAUACGUAGGGUGCAAGCGUUAAUCGGAAUUACUGGGCGUAAAGCGUGCGCAGGCGGUGGUUUAAGUCCGUUGUGAAAGCCCUGGGCUCAACCUGGGAAUUGCAGUGGAUACUGGGUCACUAGAGUGUGGUAGAGGAUAGUGGAAUUUCCGGUGUAGCAGUGAAAUGCGUAGAGAUCGGAAGGAACAUCUGUGGCGAAGGCGACUAUCUGGGCCAACACUGACACUGAGGCACGAAAGCGUGGGGAGCAAACAGGAUUAGAGACCCGCGUAGUCCCUGUCUCUUAUAC